UACGGGGGGGGCAAGCGUUGUUCGGAAUUACUGGGCGUAAAGGGCUCGUAGGCGGCCAACUAAGUCAGACGUGAAAUCCCUCGGCUUAACCGGGGAACUGCGCCUGAUACUGGAUGGCUUGAGUUUGGGAGAGGGAUGCGGAAUUCCAGGUGUAGCGGUGAAAUGCGUAGAUAUCUGGAGGAACACCGGUGGCGAAGGCGGGUCUCUGGGCCGUAACUGACGCUGAGGAGCGAAAGCGUGGGGAGCGAACAGG
rnacentral:rRNA from 1 species